GAGGGAAUGAGCAUGCGUCGUGUUAUCGUUGAAAACAGCGGGAGAAGAGGGAAGCUCGAGUCAAGAGAAGAGGGUGUCGUCAUUGCAGAGCACACACGCGGGAUUCCUUCGAUAAGACUUGGGACACUCAGCCGUACUUGGCGAGGAAUUUCCAAGUGUAACGAUGUGCGGGGAUGGAAGCUGAUGAUGAUCGGGCGAAUGGCUCGCGGAUAUCAUAACAGGGGAUCGAUUCGCGCACGGCGGUGACGGGCACUCGACUUUCGUGUGAGGCCUGUUCACUCCGUGCAAUUUGAAAUAAAGGCCGCACGCGUUGCAAACAGGCUCGCCCAAAGUGUUUCGACGCCAUAACGACGUCAUCGUCGUUUGACAAUUACUGCAAGAAGUGCCUACUCGUCUUGAAG